UGGGGAAUUUUGGACAAUGGGCGAAAGCCUGAUCCAGCAAUGCCGCGUGUGUGAAGAAGGCCUUCGGGUUGUAAAGCACUUUUGUCCGGAAAGAAAUCCUUGGCUCUAAUACAGUCGGGGGAUGACGGUACCGGAAGAAUAAGCACCGGCUAACUACGUGCCAGCAGCCGCGGUAAUACGUAGGGUGCAAGCGUUAAUCGAGAUUACUGGGCGUAAAGCGUGCGCAGGCGGUUUGCUAAGACCGAUGUGAAAUCCCCGGGCUCAACCUGGGAACUGCAUUGGUGACUGGCAGGCUAGAGUAUGGCAGAGGGGGGUAGAAUUCCACGUGUAGCAGUGAAAUGCGUAGAGAUGUGGAGGAAUACCGAUGGCGAAGGCAGCCCCCUGGGCCAAUACUGACGCUCAUGCACGAAAGCGUGGGGAGCAAAACAGGAUUAGAUACCCUGGUAGUCCACGCCCUAAAACGAUGUCAACUAGUUGUUGGGGAUUCAUUUCCUUAGUAACGUAGCUAACGCGUGAAGUUGACCGCCUGGGGAGUACGGUCGCAAGAUUAAAAACUUAAAUGAAUUGACGGGGUCAUAGCUGUUUCCU
rnacentral:rRNA from 1 species